GUGCUCGCUUCGGCAGCACAUAUACUAAAAUUGGAACAGUACAGAGAUUAGCAUGGCCCCUGCAUAAUGAUGACACGCAAAUUCGUGAAGCGUUCCAUAUUUUU